GGGUUUGUAGCUCAGUGGUCGAGGGCUCACCUGGCAUGUGAGAGGCACUGAGUUCAACCCUCAGCACCA
rnacentral:tRNA from 1 species